CUGCCUUAGUCCAAUAGACCAGGAUCAGCUCUGAACAGACCUGCUAACUAGCCAUUCAUUCGAUUCAGGUGUGUUAGAGCAGGGAAGCAUCUGAAAGUUGCAGGAUGGUAGAUCUCGCCGACUGGACUUGAGCACCCAGCGAGGGCCUUCCUCUGAUGCUCCUGUUUACAGAUGGCCUUUCUCUACUGUGUGGAGAGAUGGGGAGACUGAGUGGUCAUUGUUCUCUGCGGUGCCACUGUGCCUGUGUGGCAUUCCCAUCCACCGAGUGGGAAUUCCUUUGCCAGGUUGUGGAACAGGGAAAACGCGAACACGGCAUCCUGUACAGAACGGCUAACUGGUUAAACUGGCUGGUGUCCAGAGACGUUUGGUGUUUCAUCCUGUUAAUGGCUGAAAAUAAAGAAUAA